rnacentral:rRNA from 1 species
AAUUUUGGACAAUGGGGGAAACCCUGAUCCAGCCAUCCCGCUUGUAUUAUGAAGGCCUUCGGGUUGUAAAGUACUUUUGGCAGAGAAGAAAAGGUAUCCCCUAAUACGUGAUGCUUCUGACGGUAUCUGCAGAAUAAGCACCGGCUAACUACGUGCCAGCCUCCGCGGGAAUAUGUAGGGUGCAAGCGGUAAUCGGAAUUACUGUGCGUAAAGCGUGCGCAGGCGGUUCGGAAAGAAGAAUGUGAAAUCCCAGGGCUCAACCUUGGAACUGCAUUCUUAACUAACGAACUAGAGUAUGUCAGAGGGGGGUAGAAUUCCGCGUGUAGCAGUGAAGUGCGUAGAUAUGCGGAGGAAUACCGAUGGCGAAGGCAGACCCCUGGGAUAAUACUGACGCUCAUGCACGAAAGCGUGGGUAGCAAACAGG